UAUUGUGCAUAAAGUCAUAUUAAAUUUUGGGAUGAUGUACAACAUCAUUUUCUUUUAAAGGCUGCUUUUAACCUCCAAGUAUCUUCUUUUUAGCUUCUGCUGAGGGAUUUGUUUGUGAUAACCGAUGACUGGGGGAGGGGGAAAAGGGUGUUUUUUAUUAAGCUUCUUGUAGUAGAUAAAUCUGAAUUUGCACCUCUGAUAGGAAACUGGUCCUGGCUAAGGGAAAAAAACACUGUUACAUCUCAUCUGUUUCAAAUGCCUGGGAAAAUAGCUCAGCAGAUAGCCUGAAAGCCGAAUCCGGAUUGCCGUGGGCUCCGUUGGAAGCCAGUUGCAAAAUCAAGACCCAUUCAUUGGAAACGUCUUUCCAACUAACCCCUCCCACUUUCACUUCUUUUAAAAUGAAAAAAAGCUAUUUUCAUUUUCCUCUUUGAACGUAGAGAUCCCAGAAUUAAUAUGUUCCCAAUAAUAAUGCAGAGUAAAGCAAUGAAAAUCAGCUUUGCUUUAUUGACACCUGUGGACUCUCAUUGAUUUUCAGUGGCAGAGGAACUGGCCAGCUAAAAAUAUAUAAUUAAAUUUCAUCUUCAGCCUGUCACUAAUGUGAGGAAUUUCACUUCAAAUGUAGGGUGGGCUUUGUUUGCUAAUUUAUACGAGAAUGUACAGGCAACUCUUAAUUUUUUAGUUAUCUUUGGCUGCAGUGGCUCAGAGCAAACUAAAUUCAGAUUAUACAAUGUUUUCCGUGAGCAGCAGGACUGAUGAGCUGGAAUUCCACCAUUGCUUUUCUACAUUGACUCUCUCAUGUCUAAUAAAGAGUGAGUUUAUUAGCAUUUUCUCUGUGGGAGACAUUAAUAAAAGCAGUUUUCUCCAUCCAGGAAUCUAUUUUCAUAAAACCUGCAUGAAGUUCAUAUCUCUGAGACCUCGGUUGCUCUGACAAAUUUUCUUUGAAAUUAGCCGUUGCAUCUUAAAGCUAUUAAAUGGGGACCUGCAGAUAUAAACACACACAGUUGUACACAGGGUGAUAAAUCUCAUUUCUCUAUUAGAAGAACAAUGAGAGCACAGCAGAAAAGAGAGAAACUGGUGGUACUGGUGACCUGAGACACAAUUGCCAGUGGAGCGGUGGUCUGAGCAGACAUAACCCAAUGCAAAUAUAAUGUACAGCUGUUAUUUGCAAAGCUGGCUGGUAGAAACCAGCUGAAGUCUCCCUGCACUGAUGACACUGGUAUCCAUCAGUGUUAAGGCUUGGGGUGGAGGGUGGGCUGUGAUAAUCCAGGCUUAGUGGUUUCACCUGAAAGGGUGGGAGGCUUUACUAGGGCUGGGGAUUAAAAAGCAGAGCAAGAGUGAAGCAGAGCUGAGCUUGGUGGAGCUGGAGUCUGGAUCUCAGGUGGGUAAUAAGCUGUGGGGAAGUGACUUCUGCAUUCAUAGUUCUGAAUCUACCUGUUCUCUAGGGAGCUUUGUCUGCUGAGUGGCCCCAUAGGUUCCCUUCCUUAAGGGCAUAGUAAGGAUUUGACUUAAAGGCUGUUUGUGUGUUGUCUGGCUUUUUUUCUUUCUUUUGAGGGCAGAACUGUGGCUCAACGUAAUUUGGAUGACCCGUCAAUAAAGAAUGGAGGCUUAAAUAAAACUGUAAGGCAGUUUAAUAGUUGUGUGAAGGGUGUACCUGUGUGUAUCCUUUGGCAUAAGGCUAUGUUUCCACUAUGACUAUACAGUUUCAAGACUGUGAGUUGUGUGUUAAGUUUCUAUGCGUGUGAAGUCUUCACUAUAUCUUGGGAACAUUGAACUGAAUGCUGAAAGUGUCAUAGCAGGAGAUAUUAAUUUGUAGCUGUGUGGGCAAUGGUGGAGAUGUAGGGGUUUUUGACUCUGAGCACCCCAGUCUUUAGAUCUGAACCCAGUGGUCCUGUCCAUUACAGCUGUGUAUCCAGCUGUGUGCCUGGGUUGUUACGGUGGGCAGGCAGUGUGCACUUAAACCAUGGCCCACUGGUGCUGUUAUGUCAGGAGGGAUCAGAGCUGGAGUGACUCUGAAGACAUAAGUAUUUUUCUUAACAAGUCUUAAAUGGCAAAAUUCACACUGAAUAAUUUUGGUAAUAAAUGGCAACCUAAAUAUGUCAGGAGUGAUUUAGUACCUGUGAACCAUGGAGCUAAAAUGUAGAUGAGGCUAAUUAGCUGAUUCUUUAACCCAACUCCUGCUUUCCUCUCUCUUUCCAACAAAAAAAAAUUGCUAUUUUCUCUGCUUUUCUCAGAACACACAGGGUUGGGUUACAGCUUUGGCGUUGCUCUGGUUAUGUUGUCCAUGUGUCCUAUGCUUAACACAAAUAAGUAGAGACAAGAGGCUUGAGAGCAAGGUAGGCAGCCAGAUUCAGAGUGAAUAAUGCAGGCGUCAAGGCAAAAUGAGGUCAAAAAGAGCAUUUGCAGGCAAUACUAUGCAGAAAGGAUGUUUCUCUGCUACCUCUGCAAAGCAGCUGCCAUCAGCCAUGUGAUGCUCUCAUGCUUUGUCCGGUUAUUAUACGCAGAGAUGAAGCAGGAUCAAGAAUCAGUUCCUGACUAGGAGAGAUUUCUGAUGUUCCUCUGCCUGGGCCUGGACUGCAAUGUGCAGUUUGUGCUUUAGAGAUGUGCAAAUAAUUAAUUUUUCAGCUUGUUCACCAUUUUAAGGGAACACAAAGCAAGUUUUCUUCUGAAAUAGCUCUCACCACUGUCAUCUCUUCUGAAAGCUAUCACUUUGAAUCAUGCAAAACAUUGUUUUUUCUGUUUGAAAAAAAGUAUACAUCUAUGUAUAAAAAGCCUUAGUUUGAGCCAACGUGGUCUCCAAACCUUCCUGUUGAAAUAUGGAGCUGUAAUAUUUCAUUUUCAAAAUGCCGAACAAUAUGAUUUGACUUAUUCUUAAAAAAUGUUGGAUAAUUUUUAAUCUGGAGGUAUCUGGGUAACUUUUAAAUGCAUCUUUUGGAUGAGUAAACUAACUACCUGGGAAUUUGUUACUACCCCUGCACACAGACCCGGAGCUCUCACCUGGCUUAGCUGGACAUGUGGACAGCCUUAAAAAGGCACACACAUGGGGCUGCAGACUCACAGUCUCUGCGUUUUCAAUAUGCACAUCAUACAGAAAGACUUAUUCAGAGUAAUUUAGUGCCAGGAUGAAGGAGGGUCCAGCUAGUGUCCCUCAGCCAAAGUACACAGGGCUUGCAGACAUCUCUCUGCUCGCCUAUCACCUGUCCUCUCUGCUCACCUAUCACCUGUCCUCCUAGGGAAGGGAGGUAAAGCCAGCACCCUAAAGAAUGCUGUGAGGAAAAGAGAGCAGACAAACCUGCUGUUCCAGUAUGAAGCAUUUUUCUUUACUUGAUAGCUUUUCUUUUAGGUCUGACUCCUGCUCAUCUGAGCAGUGACGCUGAUAAAGCUUGGUACAGCUGUCAUGCAGAUGUGUAAUGGUCACUGCUGACAACCAGCAGCCACUGGAAUUUACAUUGUGAUGCUGCAGCAAGACCAAAAAAGAGCAUUUUUGCAUGAACCAGGGCUUCAUCCUUCUGAAGUAAGAGUGUACCUUGAGCUGGAGUAGUUUGUCCUGCUGCCUUUCUCCAGCUCUUAGCUGGUCUCAGGUCUGUUCUUCGGUCCUUUGGAAGAAGGGAGAGGGAUGAAAUAAUCAUUGCAUGGUAUGGAUGCUGCUCUCUUCCAGGCACAAGAACUGGCCUGGCUGAGGCAUUACAGUGAAUAAAAGCAGGAAAUAACUCUUGCCAAACAGCUGGCUGGCAUAAGGAGGAGCUCUUGCUGGUAGGAGAAUUUGGGAACAAAUAUGUCUUUUGCCAGCUCUGCUGAGCAACACAGCUGAUUUCCUGUCAGCCCCAGUGCUCCCAGUUCAACAGAAGCAUGGAGAUGGGACAUUGCCAAAAGCUUCUCCUGUGGUCUGUAUGGGGGAGUGAUGAUAAUCUGUUGGUAUUUGCUCACUGUGCCUCUGUGUAAGGGGUAUGAAGAGCAGCCUGUGGUCUGCCCUGGGUGAUGUCCUAGUCCCUGCCACCAGCAAGUACAGGCAGGACCAGGUGGCACCCACUGCUGGGAUGCUGCAGCUGGUGCUCCCCAGGGCUCAGGAUACACUUUCCGCUGAGACAGGGGGAUCUGUGGCACUUUGUGAUGCUUACAGCUUUACCAUCUGCCUGUGAUACUGGUGUGUGCAGGAAGAUGACCAGAGUCCCUCUGUCUGAGGGGACUGGGGCUGCUUGUCACAAGGACUGGUGGCACUUGCAAAUUCUGCCAUAUCUGGGGUGUCAGAAGUGACCUGGAUUCAUGUUGGUCCCCUUAAUGUACACUGGAUAGAGAUGGAUUCCAGGAUCCUGAAUGCCACACAUUGGUACAGAGCAAGCCCAUGCGGAGUGGUGAGUCUGACUAUGAGACUUUGGCAACGUGUUGCUCCUUCUGUCUUCUCUAGUGUGUGUUUCUAGGAGCUGAGACCCAUGAAUGUAAACACACAACUGUAUCAUCUGAUCCUUCUCAGGCCAUUGUUUGUUUGGGGUCAGCUUAUCUCUUUUUCAAGAAUGGGAUGUUUAGAGGAAAAAAAUAUAUAAAGCCUAUCUGUAAUAGUCUUAAUUGUAAACCAGGCUACAUACUUUCAGACUGGAACCUAAUCACUCAUUGGCCGUACAGGGAAUUGAUUAAUUGCUUUGCUGCUUUUUACUCGUAUAAAUCUUUGAUUUAGUGAUUACUGCAUUUUGAUUUAUCACUUACUAUACAAGUAAUCAAUAUUUAUGAUGAAUGGAUAAAUUCAAAUACCACCCAUUUCACAAUAUAUAAUAUAAUUUGAUGUAUAAAAGACAUUUUCAGUGGCUUUUCCUAAUUAUCCAAACUGGAAAUGGGUAUCUCUUCACCUGCAGUAAUGUCUCUUUCCUGACUGUCUUACAAUGGUGUGAAGUAGGAGUAACCCUGUUAUAACCAACUGAUGAAGAGGAAUCAGAGUUUGAGACAGAGAAAAACCUUCAGAGGGGAGAAGAACUUGUGCAAAUGAAAAACUAACUGAAGAAAGGGCCCUAGAUUUUUUUUUUUUUUUUUGCUAAAAACUGUUAUAGGGACAGACCAUUUACUAGUGUAAACUGGUAUAGAUCCUGGCCUAAUUCUUUUGUGUAUCUCUUUCUUCAAAGUCCUUCAAUUCAAUGUGAAUCUGAUCUUGGGGAUUAUUACACAGGAGUCUGACUGUCUGCAGUCCUUCAGAAUUACAAACUAAUUGUGGGAUAAGAGCUAUAUAUAAUUUACUAGCUAUGGAUUUGUUUUCCUGCUUUCAGAAGUCUCUUUACUGCCCUUCUUUCCUGCCUACCCCCGCCCUAUAGCUGAACAUGGUUUGUGUAGGAAUGGAACCACAGUGGUGGCAACUCAUUAGAAGCCCAGUGAACAUGGUCACCCCAGUUUCUGGGAAGGGGGCAGGGGUGGGGAGGGAUGUUGGUGGGGCAGAAACCCACUGUGGGGCCUGACAAGUUUAAGAACUCUCUGUCUGUAAGACAAUGGAUAAUGCUUGUGCUCUGAUCCCAUGAGUACUGAGUAGAUGUUAAAGAUAAUCUGCCUGGCCCAUUGCUGCUUGGAAUAAAAUCCAGAGGGAACUCAUCAGCAUGGACUAAACCUGCUCUGAGACCAGUAUUUUCUGUCUGUCUUUGUGGAAAGAAAAACCUGACCAGUGAGUUGUUCAGCUGUGAGUCCUGGGCUGGAUCCAAGGUUGGCUGAAGCUGGUGGAAGGACUCUUGCUGUCUUCAAAGGAUUUGUGAUGGGUAUUUUGCGCUCUCCAGGAAGGGAUCAUCCCCUCUGCUCCUUUCAUUGUGAAGUGGCUGCUGCUGCAAUGGAAAGCCCAACUAAAAGCUAAACAUACUACAUAUCCCCCCGGUGAUGGACACUUUAUUUCCUUCCGUUCAGCUUCCUCCGUGCUUGUGUAAAUGGAUGAGAGUUUUACAGGUUUGACUGCCAUUCACCAGCUUGCUAUAGUGUGUACUCUGACAUGAAACCCUCUGCACACUGUGAGCACUGGGUGAGUCCUUCCCCACCAUCCCAUGAGGUGGUGAGUUGGGCUGGAAGCUUCUGUAUUUUGGGCACUGCACCAACAAUGAGACUUCUUCAAAUAUCUCCUGCUGGUUGUUGCCAAUUGUCCUAAAAAAUACACUUUUUUUUGCAUGUCACAAUCCAAUCAAGAAAUGUUUUUUUGCUCUUGCAUAGAAUAAGAGAACAGGAGACUUUGAAGUGAUUUUUUUAAAAAUUUUUUUCAGUCAGCUCAUGAAGCACCCACUUAUUGAGGUUUUUCAGCUUUCCAAUUUGCUGCCAAGGCUGCAUGACCAUUGACUGGUCAACAUUGAGUUCUUUGGCAACUUCUAGUAGUUGUAAGAGAAUGAGCUUCAAUGAUUGCCCUCAGUUGGUUGUUGUCAAGUUCAGAUGGCUGGUCACUGUAUUCAUCUUCAAGGCUCUUGUCUCCUUUGUGAAACUUCUUGAAACCACCACUGCACUGUAUAUUUGUUAGCAGUUCCUGGGCUGAAUGUGUUGUUGAUGUUGAGUUGUUUCUGCUGCUUUGUGACCCCUUUUGAACUUGAAUAAGAAAACUGUUCGAAUUUGCUUUUUGUCUAGCAUUUCUAUAGUCUAAAAGAUAAAAUAAACAGCAAGUAAUAAGUCAGUAGCAAAAAAAAAGUGCAUUAAAAUAAUGACUUGGAUGAGGGAAUAGAGUGCACUGUCAGCAAAUUUGCUGAUGACACAAAGUUGGGAGGAGGGGCUGACAUGCCAGAGGCUGUGCUGCCAUCCAGAGACCUGGACAGGCUGGGGAGUUGGGGAGGGAGAAAUGUAAUGAAAUAUAACAAGGACAAGUGUAGAGUCUUGAAUCUGGGCAGGAGCAAUCCCAGGUUCCAGUGUAAGUUGGGGAAUGACCUGUUGGAGAGCAGCGUAGGGGAAAGGGACCUGGGGGUCCUGGUGGACAGCAGGAUGAGCAUGAGCCAGCACUGGGCCCUUGUGGCCAGGAAGGCCAAUGGCAUCCUGGGGUGGAUUAGGAGGGAGGUAGUUAGUAGGUCAAGAGAGGUUCUCUCUGCCCUGGUGAGACCCCACCUGGAGUCCUGUGACCGGCUCUGGGGUCCUCACUACAGGAAAGGCAGGGACCUGUUGGAGAGGGUCCAGAAGAGGGCCAGCAAGAUGAUCAGAGUGAUGGAACACCUCUGCUGUAAGGACAGACUGAGAGACUCAAGGUUGUUCAGCCUGGAGAAGAGAAGGCUCUGGGGAGACCUUAACGUGGCCUUUCAGUACUUUAAAGGGACCUGUGAGAAAGGUGGGGACAGACUUUUUAGCAGGGCCUGUUAUGACAGGACAAGAGGUCAUGGUUUUAAACUAAAGGAGGGGGAGAUUCAGGCUGGAAAUGAGGAAUAAACUUUUACAAUGAGGGUGGUGAAAGCCUGGCCCAGGUUGGCCGGAGAGGUGGUGGAUGAACCAUCCCUGGAGACAUCCCAGGCCAGGCUGGACGGGGCUCUGAGCAACCUGAGCUGGUGAAGAUGUCCCUGCCCAUGGCAGGGGUGGGACUGAAUGAGCUUUGAAGGUCCUUUCCAACCCCAAUUUUUCUGUGAUUCUAUGUGUGUGAUUGUUCAAUAUAUGGUGCAGCUGAGAUCUCCCUGAGCAGAACUGUAUUUCAGAGGUCUCUGCUUUAUAAAUACACCAUGCAAUGUGUGGUCCAAACAAAAUAAAUCCUGCACAGCUCAGGGUAGAUCUAAUGUAGUAAAUGUAUGAUGUUUGUUCCUGCCUGAUGCAAUAA